AGGGGAUAGAGCCCUUAGGAAAGGGCUCACCAAGGCGACGAUCCGUAACUGGUCUGAGAGGAUGAUCAGUCACACUGGAACUGAGACACGGUCCAGACUCCUACGGGAGGCAGCAGUGGGGAAUAUUGGACAAUGGGCGAAAGCCUGAUCCAGCCAUGCCGCGUGUGUGAAGAAGGUCUUCGGAUUGUAAAGCACUUUAAGUUGGGAGGAAGGGUUGUAGAUUAAUACUCUGCAAUUUUGACGUUACCGACAGAAUAAGCACCGGCUAACUCUGUGCCAGCAGCCGCGGUAAUACAGAGGGUGCAAGCGUUAAUCGGAAUUACUGGGCGUAUAGCGCGCGUAGGUGGUUCGUUAAGUUGGAUGUGAAAUCCCCGGGCUCAACCUGGGAACUGCAUCCAAAACUGGCGAGCUAGAGUAUGGUAGAGGGUGGUGGAAUUUCCUGUGUAGCGGUGAAAUGCGUAGAUAUAGGAAGGAACACCAGUGCCCGGAAAGACAUUCCA
rnacentral:rRNA from 1 species